rnacentral:sRNA from 1 species
UCACUUAUUAAAUAUGGUGGCGCAGUAUUCUAGUCAGAUCUAUCGCUUCUCAAGGCGGGGCUAAAAAUCCGUCAAAGGGCACAUCGAUGAAGUUUCUUGUAUUGGCUUUCGACGCCCAGUUGGGGGCUUUUACAGGGAGUAAAGGGGGAUGGGGCGAUCCGCAAUGGCAUGCGGGCGUAGACCCUGCUCCCGCGGAGACCCGGGAAACCGGGAGAAACCUGCGGAAGUGUCGCAAGAUAUGGAAGCAGCGUAGCCUGCCUUGAGUGAGGUAGGGAGAUGAUAAGAUCAGUCCGGCUGGCUUUUGAGCUCAAAGUCGUCGGGUAUUGCUUUUCGAAACCUAUCUUGCAAAAGAGGCUAGGAAGCGAUGUGACUGUUGAGGAAAACUCCUAGACUGUUCCUUUGGAAGCACUUCGAGGAUUACAGUGUGUACUGAGUGGCAAUCCAGCCUCGUCUCUGGCGACAAGACGAAAAAAGGGCAAGGGAAACCGCCGGUUUGGCGACGAAUCGGUCUCUUUUUGGGAAAACCUGCUGGACCUAUGGCGCAAAGUUUACUUGAAGUGCUGCCACCAUAUUUCAAUAAUUC